UACAGAGGGUGCAAGCGUUAAUCGGAAUUACUGGGCGUAAAGCGCGCGUAGGUGGUUUGUUAAGUUGGAUGUGAAAGCCCCGGGCUCAACCUUGGAACUGCCUUUGAUACUGUCGGUCUUGAGUUCGAGAGAGGUAAGUGGAACUGCGAGUGUAGAGGUGAAAUUCGUAGAUAUUCGCAAGAACACCAGUGGCGAAGGCGGCUUACUGGCUCGAAACUGACGCUGAGGCGCGAAAGCGUGGGGAGCAAACAGG
rnacentral:rRNA from 1 species